GAUGAACGCUGGCGGCGUGCCUAAUACAUGCAAGUCGAGCGAACAGACGAGGAGCUUGCUCCUCUGACGUUAGCGGCGGACGGGUGAGUAACACGUGUAUAACCUACCUAUAAGACUGGGAUAACUUCGGGAAACCGGAGCUAAUACCGGAUAAUAUAUUGAACCGCAUUGUUCAAUAGUGAAAGACGGUUUUGCUGUCACUUAUAGCUGGAUCCGCGCCGCAUUAGCUAGUUGGUAAGGUAACAGCUUACCAAGGCAACGAUGCGUAGCCGACCUGCGAGGAUGGUCAGCCACCCUGGGACUGUGACACGGUCCAGACUCCUACGGGAGGCAGCAGUAGGGAAUCUGCAGCAAUGGGCGAAAGCCUGACGGAGCAACGCCGCGUGAGUGAUGAGGAUCUUCGGAUCGUAAAACUCUGUUAUUAGGGAGGAACCAGUGUUUAAGUAAGUAGGCACGUCAUGACGGUACCUGAGUAGAAAGCCACGGCUAACUUCGUG
rnacentral:rRNA from 1 species